rnacentral:rRNA from 1 species
GGAGGAUCCAAGCGUUAUCCGGAUUUAUUGGGUUUAAAGGGUGCGUAGGCGGCUUAUUAAGUCAGGGGUGAAAGACGGUGGCUCAACCAUCGCAGUGCCCUUGAUACUGAUGAGCUUGAAUAGACUAGAGGUAGGCGGAAUGUGACAAGUAGCGGUGAAAUGCAUAGAUAUGUCACAGAACACCGAUUGCGAAGGCAGCUUACUAUGGUAUAAUUGACGCUGAGGCACGAAAGCGUGGGGAUCAAACAGGAUUAGAUACCCUGGUAGUCCACGCCCUAAACGAUGAACACUCGCUGUUGGCGAUAUACAGUCAGCGGCUAAGCGAAAGCGUUAAGUGUUCCACCUGGGGAGUACGCCCGCAAGGGUG